rnacentral:rRNA from 1 species
AGCGAACGCUGGCGGCAGGCCUAACACAUGCAAGUCGAACGAAGUCUUCGGCCUUAGUGGCGGACGGGUGAGUAACACGGGGGAACGUACCCUUUGGUUCGGAACAAAUCAGGGAAACUUGAGCUAAUUCCGGAAGAGCCCGUAGGGGGAAAGAUUUAACGGGGAAAAAGCGGCCCGGGUUGGAUUAGCUAGUUGGUGGGGUAAACGCUCACCAAAGCUACGAUCUAUAGCUCGUCGGAGAGGAUGAUCAGCCACACUGGGACUGAGACACGGACCAGACUCCUACGGGAGGCAGCAGUGGGGAAUCUUGCGCAAUGGGCGAAAGCCUGACGCAGCCAUGCCGCGUGAAUGAUGAAGGUCUUAGGAUUGUAAAGUUCUUUUACCAGUGACGAUAAUUGCGGUACCUGGAGAAAAAGCCCCGGCUAACUUCGUGCCAGCAGCCGCAGUAAAAC